AAAUAAGAAGCAAAAAUUGCAUUUAGUUUCGACCUAAAAAUAUGACUUACAGUCCUUAUUUU
rnacentral:tRNA from 1 species